GAUGAACGCUAGCGGCAGGCUUAAUACAUGCAAGUCGAGGGGCAGCGCGGGUAGCAAUACCUGGCGGCGACCGGCAAACGGGUGCGGAACACGUACGCAACCUUCCCAAAACUGGGGAAUAGCCCUCCGAAAGGAGGAUUAAUACCCCGUAACAUAACGAAGUGGCAUCACUUUGUUAUUAUAGUUCCGACGGUUUUGGAUGGGCGUGCGCCUGAUUAGGUAGUUGGCGGGGUAACGGCCCACCAAGCCUGCGAUCAGUAACUGGUGUGAGAGCACGACCAGUCACACGGGCACUGAGACACGGGCCCGACUCCUACGGGAGGCAGCAGUAAGGAAUAUUGGUCAAUGGACGCAAGUCUGAACCAGCCAUGCCGCGUGAAGGAUGAAGGUCCUCUGGAUUGUAAACUUCUUUUAUAUGGGACGAAAAAGGGCAUUCUUGCUCACUUGACGGUACCAUAGGAAUAAGCACCGGCUAACUCCGUGCCAGCAGCCGCAGUAAACGUAGCGUG
rnacentral:rRNA from 1 species